rnacentral:rRNA from 1 species
GACGAACGCAGGCGGCGUGCCUAAUACAUGCAAGUAGAACGCUGAAGGGAGAGCUUGCUCUUCUGGAUGAGUUGCGAACGGGUGAGUAACGCGUAGGUAACCUGCCUGGUAGCGGGGGAUAACUAUUGGAGACGAUAGCUAAUACCGCAUAACAGCAAAUGUUGCAUGACAUUUGCUUAAAAGGUGCAAUUGCAUCACUACCAGAUGGACCUGCGUUGUAUUAGCUAGUUGGUGGGGUAACGGCUCACCAAGGCGACGAUACAUAGCCGACCUGGGAGUGUGAUCGGGCACACUGGGACUGAGACACAGCCCAGAAUCCUACGAGAUGCAGCAGUAAGGAAGCAUCGGCAAGGAACUGAAGUCGGACCGGGCAACGCCGCGUGAGUGGAGAAGGUUUUCGGAUCGUAAAGCUCUGUUGUAAGAGAAGAACGAGUGUGAGAGUGGAAAGUUCACACUGUGACGGUAUCUUACCAGAAAGGGACGGCUAACUACGUGCCAGCCGCCGCGGUAA